AUUGAACGCUGGCGGCGUGCCUAACACAUGCAAGUCGAGCGGUAACAGGUGUAGCAAUACAUGCUGACGAGCGGCGGACGGGUGAGUAACGCUUGGGAAUCUGCCUAUUAGUGGGGGACAACCCGGGAAACUCGGGCUAAUACCGCAUACGCUCUACGGAGGAAAGCCGGGACCGCAAGGCCUGGCGCUAAUAGAUGAGCCCAAGUCGGAUUAGCUAGUUGGUAGGGUAAUGGCCUACCAAGGCGACGAUCCGUAACUGGUCUGAGAGGACGACCAGUCACACCGGAACUGAGACACGGUCCGGACU
rnacentral:rRNA from 1 species